rnacentral:rRNA from 1 species
CACGUAGGAGCCAAGCGUUAUCCGAAUUCACUGGGCGUAAAGCGCGUGUAGGCGGCUUAUUAAGUUGGAUGUGAAAGCUCCCGGCUCAACUGGGAGAGGACGUUCAAGACUGGUAGGCUAGAGGGCGACAGAGGGAGGUGGAAUUCCCGGUGUAGUGGUGAAAUGCGUAGAUAUCGGGAGGAACACCAGUGGCGAAGGCGGCCUCCUGGGUCGCACCUGACGCUCAGACGCGAAAGCUAGGGGAGCGAACGGG